UCUCUCUGAAUCUGCGAACGGCUCCGCAAACCAGUUGUAAACUAUAGCAAGCAGGCUCGGGGUUGGCUCUCGCGGGCUGGCUUCGGGCGAUAUGGAUAACCCUGGUAAUUCUGAGGCUAAUACAUGAACGUAAAACCUAGCUGACCGGGCUUCGGUCUGGGAGGCUGGGGGAUGUGUGAUUGCAGGCUUGGGUAACACCGGGAAAGGGCGCACGUCCAGACCGCGCUAUAAAGGAUGGGCCCCCCUUCGGGGGGGCCUGCCCCAGCGGCUCUUGCUGUGUGCUUCUGACCUAUCAACUAGACGGCAGCGUAAGGGACAUGCUAUGGUGACAACGGGUACAGAGGAUUAGGGUUCGAUCCUGGAGAGUGGGCCUGAGAGAUU
rnacentral:rRNA from 1 species